rnacentral:rRNA from 1 species
GAUGAACGCUAGCGGCAGGCUUAAUACAUGCAAGUCGUGGGGCAGCGCAGGUAGCAAUACUGGGCGGCGACCGGCAAACGGGUGCGGAACACGUACACAACCUUCCGAGAAGUGGGAAUAGCCCAGAGAAAUUUGGAUUAAUACCCCGUAACAUAACGAUGGUGGCAUCACAUUGUUAUUAUAGCUUCGGCGCUUCUUGAUGGGUGUGCGGCUGAUUAGAUAGUUGGCGGGUAACGGCCCACCAAGUCUACGAUCAGUAGCUGAUGUGAGAGCAUGAU